rnacentral:lncRNA from 1 species
GCCCGGACGGCGGAGGAGGGGCCGCCGCGGCGGGACGGCGGGCCAGGCAGGUCGGCGCGGCCCGGCGCUGGAGCUAGGCGGCCGGACUGGCAGGGGCGGCGUGCCGCGCGGGACCCUCACUGGGGAAGGUGGGGGGUCGGGGCCGCCUCCGCCCCGGGCCGCACGUCCGAAGACCGGAGGAGGGGACUGCGCACGCCACCAAGAGGGCGCACAGCCGAGGCUGGACGAUGCGCGGUUUCGGAGCAGGGUUUCCUGCCCAGGGAGCCCGGCUGCGCUCGAGGGGACCCCGAAGUCACCGGCAGGGUCGGAGCUCGGUGCACCACGCCCCCCCUCUGCGCCCGGGGCCUCUGCGGGGACAGAGGUCUCAGGAAAGUAGCCUUUAUUUAUGUGGCACCGAUCGGAACCCGCGGCCGGCCAGGCGGACCUGGACGGAGCGUCCCUGCUCGGAACCUGGCGCGGGGCGCCGCGCGCUCGUGUGGCGCCUCGGCCUCCCCACCGUUCAGUCCCCGGAGGCACGGAGCUCGCGGCGGGACGAUGACGGUUGGGCCGGGCCAGGCGUGGGAGACUCCCAGACUCCGGCCCGCCGGGACGGCCAGCUGCGUCACCUUGGACGUGGGCAAUACUUCGGAGCCUCGGUUAUGUCGCCUGUAACCUGAGGACAACGGCCUGGAAGGGGCUCAGGUGACACGGCGGCCCUCACUGGGGCCGAUUUAGCCGGUCUGCCGCCCCUCCGCGCCGGACCGCCAGGCGGGGUACCAGGGAAACUGCGAUGCGCCGGCUUGCGAGCCCACCGUGACGCAGAGCUGGCGGCCGCUAGCGACAGCCACCCUGUGAGGGACUUUCCCCCCAAUACCCUAACCGCUUUCCUGUCCCUAAGGGCCCGCUCCCGCCCCGGCUCCGUUUCUGUCUCUCUGAGGAAGCCCGGCGCAGCCUAACCCUCACAGGGCCGCGGAGAGGGCGCGCCAGGCGGGGAUUUGCGCCAGGCCCGCGGCGCAUGCUCAGUGGUUGGGGACUGGGCGGGUACCCCGGGCGGGGAGCCUGACUGAACGGCGGCUCUGCUGAUUGGUCGGGCUGCUCACGCCACGCCCGUUGCCUUCCGAUGGACAGUUCCUUACCUGCCGGGUCGGCCUCCGCAGAGAGUGGUGGUCUUGAAAACCCAGUUUUGGGAGAAUACCUGCCGCGCCUCCCGCCCAAAUACCCAGAGGUUUCAUAGCCGCCAUCGCUGCGGUGGAGGAGGCCGCCUGUUGCGUCCCACCCCACCAGAAAGCCUAACACUGGCCUGAAGCGUAAUCUUAAAGUGGUAGGGGAAAAUACCGAUCUAGCGCAGAGAGCAAAACACCUCCGUUCUGGGUUUAAUGGGCAGGUCUGGAGGUGAGGUAUGCCGUCCGCACUCAAUAAUUACUUGCAGGAUCGGAUUGUUUCUCCAGUGGGUGGGGACUGCAGGAUGUAGCAUUGAGUGAGCCUGGCAGAUUGAAAGAUAAAACAAGGGUGAUGAUAAAAACAAUUACACACUAACCCAUUUCCUCCUCCGUGAAAUGAGGGAAUGGCCCAGACAUUUUCCAGACCUCUUCUGUCCUAAGAGUGGAGCUGGGUGACAGAGCAGGUGCAAGCCGGCCUUUCCCUGCCUCCCCGGGGAACGCACUCUGUUCGGUGAGAGCAACUCAGCUCGCAUUGACUCCUUUCAGCUGCAGGAGUGUGGCCGUUCAGUUCUCAUUUGAACUGUUGACAACAGUUGUCUUCUGAGAAUCAUGAGUUAGAGCCUCCCUUUAGGCUUCUGACUCCCUCAAAAGUACCAGACAACACAAACUUUUCCCCUCUUGUUACCUUGGCUCUCUAAGCUGUAUCUACUUCUAUACAAGGCGAACAAUUUUGUCUUUUUAAAUUAAAAACAACAACAAAAGCA